rnacentral:tRNA from 1 species
GGUGGCUGAAUUUUAGGUGUUAGAUUGUAAAUCUAUUUAUGACUCUUGGAGUCCC